rnacentral:sRNA from 12 species
GGGACAGGGGGGGUCUCCACCACACCCGGCGGAGCCUGUCCUCCAGGUUGCGCGAACGCGUGGCCCAGUGGUUGUCGCUCGGGGGUGAUCGCCG